rnacentral:lncRNA from 1 species
GCAUCCCACGCAGGCAGCCCCCUUCCGUACAAGAGAGGCUGGCGGUUACCUUUCUUGGGGAGACGCGUCCGACUGCUUCAUUGUGGGGGCCUCAGGAGCGGAGGAUCGGGUCCCGCCCGAGGUGACGCGUAAACCCAGACUCUCAGCAACGCGGGUAGGAAGGACCCUUGAAGUUCCGCGGCGACCACGUCGGCUGAAACCAGCAGCCCAGGACAAGUGGACCAGCCAGCAAGACCCAGACCAUCCAAACCGGCUGAUCCUACGACAGGACCCAGAUGCCAGUGAAAGUGACCACAGCCCUGCUCUAGUCACCCCGGAAGCUGACCAGUCUACGCACGGCCGAAGCUUCGUCAAGGAAGUAAAUGCCUCCACCCCUCGAAUUCCCAGUUCACCGACACCAGCCUGGGGAUCACCUCCUUGUCAGAAGUUGGAAAGAGGAAAAACUCAGCCAACCUGGGAAGGACUUUAUCGGGUGCUCCUGACCACCAAGAUGACGGUCGGAAAGGGCCCCAUCCCUGGAGGGAUCUUGGACCUUCACUCCAGGAUCAACGCCUUCCAAAUUAACAUUCAAAAAGGUUUAAUCUGUCUCUUCCUUCUCCCUGUAGCCGCCCAAGGACGUCUUAUUAUCAAUAUAAGGUGAUCACCCUUUCCCCAGCUA